CUAGAGUUUGAUCAUGGCUCAGAUUGAACGCUGGCGGCAGGCCUAACACAUGCAAGUCGAGCGGUAACAGGAAGGAAGCUUGCUUUCUUUGCUGACGAGCGGCGGACGGGUGAGUAAUGCCUGGGAAAUUGCCCUGAUGUGGGGGAUAACCAUUGGAAACGAUGGCUAAUACCGCAUGAUGCCUUCGGGCCAAAGAGGGGGACCUUCGGGCCUCUCGCGUCAGGAUAUGCCCAGGUGGGAUUAGCUAGUUGGUGAGGUAAUGGCUCACCAAGGCGACGAUCCCUAGCUGGUCUGAGAGGAUGAUCAGCCACACUGGAACUGAGACACGGUCCAGACUCCUACGGGAGGCAGCAGUGGGGAAUAUUGCACAAUGGGCGCAAGCCUGAUGCAGCCAUGCCGCGUGUAUGAAGAAGGCCUUCGGGUUGUAAAGUACUUUCAGUGGUGAGGAAGGGGGUGUGGUUAAUAGCCAUAUUCUUGACGUAGCCACGAAGAAGACCG
rnacentral:rRNA from 1 species